UAUUUUUCUCUUUCAGAAAAUCUUAAGUAAAAGCUGUUCUAAAGAAUAAUUUUUAGGCAUGACAACACUUUAGUAUGGCCUCAGUUCGCUUAUAUUGUGAGUAUAAUAUGCUAUUUUUUUUGUUAUGCACAUAACUUACAAGAUAAAAGUUAAAAAGUUUAAAGAUUAUGUUCCUCAUUAAAAUGAUUGAAAACUAAAUGAAAUUAAGCGAUGGGUAACCUUUAAGCCCUAGUUUAAGAAGUGAGGAGUAAAAUAAGAAGAAAAAAAAACCUUGAAGCCCUAGUGGUGUAAAUGCCACCGUGGCUGACUUGAAUGGACUGUGAAGUUACAUGUUACGCUACAUGGGUAAAUAUAUAAUAAAAAAAAAUUAAAAUGACGUAAUGUAUGUGUCACCACGUCUUAUGACAAGGUUCGUAUCUCUCGAGGUUUAUUGGAAUCCGACACCGGAAGAGUAGAACAGUUACACACGACGGUGAAGGGCCUUCGAGAAUAAUUAGAAUUCUAUCUUCACGAUAGAGUCGCUCUAAAUGUUACAUCCACCUUCUCAACGCUCACUUCUGCACUCUCCUUCCUCGACCAUAGAUUCCAUACCCAAUGCGCCCUCGUCGAUGCUCCCAACUUCGUCUCCAAGCUCUAAACUCAGUGCGUCGAGUUGGAUCGAGCGCUCGAUGAGUUAACUCGGAGAGGGUCUCGUCGCUUACGCCUCCUUCUUCGGUGAAAUCCACGGCCUUUCCAGCCACGUCACUGAUAGGUUGGUUGCCCUCUCCUGCACUGUCCUGCCAGGUUCGAUUGGAUAAUAUUUUUUGCCUUUUUAGGUCAUCUUACUGCGUUGAAUUUUGAGGAAUGGUUUUGGAUUUAGUUUUGUUGAGUGAAGAUGGAGGAAGAGGUAAAGCGGAUGAUAAGGGUUUCAAAGAGGAACUUGCGACUUUAGUGAAGGAAGUGGCUAGGUUGGAGACGCAUCUGCUAUUGAUUCCAUACUUAUCCGCUGCCAAGAAGCUGAAGGUUUGACAACGACAAUGCUGUAUUAAAGGUUACAAUUUCUGUCAAUGCUGCUCAUUACUUUGAAUAUGUUAUAAAGGAAUGGUCUGAAGAUGUCUUCUUCCUUGAGAUGGGAUGGGUGAGGAUGAUGAGGCAGGAAUGGAAAGUAAUGCUAAUAUUUAUGAAGGGAUGCCAGAAAGUUUCAAAAAGGUUAUUUUUGAUGACGAGAUAAAAAAGCUGGAAGAGUUCAGAACAGAGUAGGUUGAAAAGAUAUCCCUAGUCAUUUUGAGGGGGUUUUGACGCUUUCUCUAAGGACUAUAUGAAGAACAAGAAGCAAUGGUAGAAGGGUGAAGAAGGAUGGACUGUGUCGAAGGCUCUAGUAGAAGCCCAGAAUUAUUUGCAAAGUAAAACUUCGGUGGUAGAAGUGGCGCUGGUGAUGUGGAAGAUUUGGGAUCGGGAUCCAUGAAAAUCGAUUCGGGGGUGAUGAAAUGUGGGGGUGAUGGAAGGUGUUGCCGCCGAUUCAGAAUAUCAUAACAAAGAAAGGGGUUCAACUAGUGAAAAGUGAAGGAGGUUCCUAUAGCUGGUUACGAAGGUCGAUGACCCUUUCUGUUAAGUUAUAAGGAACUACCUUAUCAUGAGGAGGAGGAACCAUGUACCAUUACUUAUUUGUAACACUUAAGGAAUUUAAUUUUUUGAAAGAUAGGUACAAAACUUCUAGAAUAAUGCAUAAAUCCUAAUAAAUUGAGUCAAGAGUUAUCUAUUUAUAAAUGAGUGUUCAAUUGUAAAAUGUAUGUUUGAUGGUGUUAUUUAGAAUUUAUUUGAAUUGUUAUGAUUUAUUAUAGUUAUCAUUAGCUUACCCUCCUUUAUUUGUUUGUUGUG